rnacentral:tRNA from 1 species
GUAGACAUAGUUUAAUAAAAACUUUAGAUUGUGAAUCUAACAACAGAGACCAAAAGCUCUUGUCUACC